rnacentral:rRNA from 1 species
UCUGGGACAAGCCCUGGAAACGGGGUCUAAUACCGGAUAACACUCUGUCCUGCAUGGGACGGGGUUAAAAGCUCCGGCGGUGAAGGAUGAGCCCGCGGCCUAUCAGCUUGUUGGUGGGGUAAUGGCCUACCAAGGCGACGACGGGUAGCCGGCCUGAGAGGGCGACCGGCCACACUGGGACUGAGACACGGCCCAGACUCCUACGGGAGGCAGCAGUGGGGAAUAUUGCACAAUGGGCGAAAGCCUGAUGCAGCGACGCCGCGUGAGGGAUGACGGCCUUCGGGUUGUAAACCUCUUUCAGCAGGGAAGAAGCGCAAGUGACGGUACCUGCAGAAGAAGCACCGGCUAACUACGUGCCAGCAGCCGCGGUAAUACGUAGGGUGCGAGCGUUGUCCGGAAUUAUUGGGCGUAAAGAGCUCGUAGGCGGCUUGUCACGUCGGAUGUGAAAGCUCGGGGCUUAACCCCGAGUCUGCAUUCGAUACGGGCUAGCUAGAGUGUGGUAGGGGAGAUCGGAAUUCCUGGUGUAGCGGUGAAAUGCGCAGAUAUCAGGAGGAACACCGGUGGCGAAGGCGGAUCUCUGGGCCAUUACUGACGCUGAGGAGCGAAAGCGUGGGGAGCGAACAGGAUUAGAUACCCUGGUAGUCCACGCCGUAAACGUUGGGAACUAGGUGUUGGGCGACAUUCCACGUCGUCGGUGCCGCAGCUAACGCAUUAAGUUCCCCGCCUGG